CAGUCAUAGGUUGAAAUGAUCCAAAGAGGUUUGAAGAUUGAGUAUUAAUAAAAUUUGAUUUAUAAAAGAUUGCAGAUGAGGUUUUAGAUCUGGAGCUAAUAACAGAUCAAAACUCAAAAAGAAAAUAUCACAUGAGACAUUUUAUGUUUUGGAGUUUUUAUGGGAAUGAUGGCUUUCUAUGCUUCAACAAAAAUUUUGAGUUUGCAUCUAAGCUAAGAUGUAAGCUUUCAAAUUCAGAAUUUAUCUAACUUUUUAUGUUGUGUGUAUGUGAGUUUAACUUUUCAUGUUUCAGGUAGAACAUACUCACUUGAUGAUUGAG